rnacentral:rRNA from 1 species
UACACUCCUACGGGAGGCAGCAGUGGGGAAUAUUGCACAAUGGGCGCAAGCCUGAUGCAGCCAUGCCGCGUGUAUGAAGAAGGCCUUCGGGUUGUAAAGUACUUUCAGCGGGGAGGAAGGCGAUAAGGUUAAUAACCUUGUUGAUUGACGUUACCCGCAGAAGAAGCACCGGCUAACUCCGUGCCAGCAGCCGCGGUAAUACGGAGGGUGCAAGCGUUAAUCGGAAUUACUGGGCGUAAAGCGCACGCAGGCGGUCUGUCAAGUCGGAUGUGAAAUCCCCGGGCUCAACCUGGGAACUGCAUUCGAAACUGGCAGGCUAGAGUCUUGUAGAGGGGGGUAGAAUUCCAGGUGUAGCGGUGAAAUGCGUAGAGAUCUGGAGGAAUACCGGUGGCGAAGGCGGCCCCCUGGACAAAGACUGACGCUCAGGUGCGAAAGCGUGGGGAGCAAACAGGAUUAGAAACCCUUGUAGUCCC